UUCUGGGAGUUCUGGGUUAAGUCCAGUGUGGGAAGCUGCAGGGCUUCCAGAAGAAGAGCUGGAGCGAUGCACCUCUCAGUCCAUCAUGGAAAUAACAAGGGCUUUGUGAGAGACUGAAGCUUCCGGAUAGGAUCUGCAACGCUCAGGUUCAGAGCUACAGCCCAGAGCUAAAAGGGAGUGUUGCAGCACCGAUGCUCACGGCAGAUGAGGAGAAAUGCCUUAAUCUGAGUGAGAAGCUCUUCCUGGGAGAAGGCUUUUCUGCAAUCAGUGAUACAGGGCACAGGACUGCUCCUAUUGCAAAACACGUGGGAAAACCCUGUGGAAAGAAAUAAUGUAUAGGCAUUGAUCCUUACUCCAGAGCUACCAGGUAACAUCCUUCCAAAUUAAGAACUGGGCUUGGUCCCAAAACACCAUUCAAAUACUAGGUGUGAACCUGAGAUCCAGAUUAGGCUGUUUUGAACUUCUAAAAUGAUACAGAAAGGCUGGCAAGCUGCCUUAAUAAUAAUGAUAAAAAAACAGUCAGAGGUUUCUCUCCCCCAAGUGCUGUGCAGGGGUGGAGCAGGGCUGGCACGGCCUUCCUGCAGCCCUGCAUGUUGGGACGGGGCACCUGCUCCAAGCCGAGCCCUUGGCCUUGGUUGGUGUGUGUGAUCACAGCGAUGCUCAGCUCCUUUCUGCUGCAUUGGUUCCCAUUGGGUUCUUCUCCAGCUCAGGAGCCUCAGCAAGCUGGUGUCGUUGGGUUUUGGGUCUGCCUGGUGACUUGGGAUUGGGAUGAUCACUGAUCCCCUGGUGGAGUAAAGGGUCAGCAAGCAUUGCAUGCAGGGGACUGGGGAUCAGCCCUUUGUGGUGGUUGGGAGUGCUCUGUGUGCACUUGAGUGAAUGCUCAGGGGAUAGCCUGGAGCAAGGCCCAGAGGGGGAUCCGCUUACAGGAAUAACAUGAAUAUGAAGUAAGAAUAGCUAAUGCUAAUGAUGUUCUGAAAGGGAUAUUAAAUGUGCUGCUUUGGGGCUGUGGCCGGAGUUAAACCUUAUGUGCUGGAAAACAUGUCCAAAUCUGCUACUGGGUCAGGCAGUGGAAGCUGUGAGGUACUGGAAUAACACACUGAGCAUUUUUCAGGCUUUUGUGCAUGGACAUGAGCUGAUUUUUGAGCAGCCACUGUUUGCUUAUACAAACGCCAUGUGACUGAAUGCCAUCUUUUCCUGUAAAAUAUAUUUUAAAACUGGGCUUGUAGUCAUGAUGGACUCUGAGCAAAAUCCAUACCAAGUUUCAAAGACUCUUGCUCUUGUUCUGUGCCUCCUUCAGGAGGUAAGAAUCUCUAUAGAGAUAAGAAUCUCUAGAAAGAGGUAGGUCCAGUGGACGCUCAGUGGGCACAUUAGCACUGGAGUUGGACAGGGAUUCAUUGAUGGAAUGGUUGCAGAGGGGACUGCAACUGUGCUUUCCACCUGCCCUCUGUGCAUCUGGGUUCCUGGCAUCCUCCCUCUGGUUUGAUGCUGGGCCCAAGAUCAAGAGAGAUUAUUCAGAUAUUUUCUUGGUAUUCUGAUGUUUUUCAAUUAUUUCUGGAACACAGGAGUUGGAGAUGGGAUUCUGUAGAGGUUUUGCAAGAGCCUCCGUAAUGGACAGAAGUUUUUUACUCCUCAGAAAUUCUCCAGACCCAGUGGUCUCAGGAAGGUCCAUCUGUCAGCAAUUGUUGACUGUGGUGGUUAGCACCAGCCCUUCCCUUUGACAGAUCGUGCUGCUCUCUUCCAGGACUUUCAUUUAUAUGAGACUUCUGGCAGCCUGCUGCUUCCUAGAUAGAAAAGCCAACAGUCUGUUCCUUCUCCUCGCUAGAUUCAUAAUGUCAUUCCUUUAGAGACAAGAUCUCAUCUAUUGCUCAACCUUGGUGAAAGUUUGCUAAUUUUUCACCACCUCAGCACCAAAUCAUUCUAGUUCUGCACGUAUUACUGAGUGAUGUGUAAAGACUCACCGUGCACUUUUCCUAAAAAUAUGGUAGGGAAUAGGUGUGUAUGGAAACGUGGGUCUGAUUUUGUUUGUAUUUUUUUCCAUUUCUCCCAAAGAAGAGAACUAUGAAGCUGGCUCAAAGCAAUCUGGGCUUGCUGGAAACCAAAGGUAAAACAUCCGCAGUCCUCCCGCAGAGUGCACAAACCGCGUUUGUGGUUACGCCGUAGCAGCAGGAGCAACUCUUCUGUGUCUCAGAGAGCUUAGUGCUGUUCUGCCAUCUUUGCUCUUUGAAAUGUGAGAGCAAAAUUAAUUUCAGGAGAAGAAUAAAUGGAUUUAGAGCAGGGAUGAAUUUGGCUUCUAGUGCCACAGGAAUGCAAGAAAUCACCCAGCGAGAGAAAGAAGGCUAAACAAUGCAAACCUCUCAUAAAUCUGGGGAGAAAUUUUAAUCCAAAGUGCUCGCUGACCUUCACUGAUGCUCUCCUUCAUCUCACCAGUGUUUUAUUCUUCUUAAAUCCAGCCCCACCACUGGCAGACCAUCAGAGAAGUCAGUUCUUGCACAAACAGGAAGGCAGACUCCCUUCCCAUUAAUUGAGGUGGUGCUUCCAGUCCUCGGCCAGAGGACACAGGGGCAGGGAGGUGUUUGCUUCCAGGACCAGGACUGGAGCUGGUCUGGGAGAAAUACAUUUCCUGGGUGGGCAGAUCUGGCCCCUCCUGGUCAUCAGGUUCACAGCCAGCUCAGGGACAAACUCUGUGCUGUCAUCUGACCGUCCUGGGACGAACUGAUUUCCAUCCUGAGUACUUCGUGCCGUGCAACCAGGAGUGUUGGACCCCUCCAGAUGCCCUAUGAAUGCAUUUCUCGAAGACUGCCUGGGAGGAAACUCAAUCACAUUUCAGUUUAAUGAAGUGAUACACUAAGUGAUGAUGCCUGGAACCGACCUUGCUGGAUCUUCUUCCUGCUAUGACUGCCAUAACUCCCGCAGCAGCAGCUGAGAUUGCUCAGACAUCUGCAGCUCCAUGUGGAGCCUCACUACUAGAUUUGGUCUUGUGUUACCCAGCUGAGAUGUGAUCCCAGCAGGUCUGGGUAGGGGCUGCCUCAUGCCAUGCUGGGCACAAUAGCAGUGUGCCUGUUGGCAGCUCAAUGGAAACCAACAGUGGAAUUACAGCAGAAAAUAUAUGAUGGACCAUAAAAGGCUUUGAAAGUUUUUUUCCACGGAAGGCCAGUCCAAUCCCAUUAUAAUCCACAGUACAUCUGCAAUGCGUAGGACUUGCCGGUAACGUGGAUAUGCAUUAUUCCUUUAAUAAAAGCAAAUGAUGGCAAGGAAUG